rnacentral:misc_RNA from 1 species
GAGGGGAUUAGAUCCCCUUCGCUUUUCGUCUUUUCCUGUUAAUUUGUGUUCAAGCUUUUUGUGCAAUAUUGAUCUGUGCAUCUAUAAAGUAAUUUGAUAUGUUCCUGGAUUUAAUGUUGUGCCUGGGCCUCUUCUUUUCUACACCAUUGUAUUCCUACUGCCAGGUGAGCGCCAUCUUGCCCUGACUGACAUUGUGGAUCUGACAGCAGCUGAACUUCACGCUGAUUCCUUCUCUACAUUUGCUCCAUAAAGUUUGAUGCAUUACAUGGAUUCUUCCAGCAUGUCACCCAAUCCGACUGACAUCAGUGCCAGACUACAUGUGCGAGGCAGCACCAAACCCAAAGCAGAAGUCAGCCAUGACAUUGUGCCCUCGGCCACUGGUGAGCUGCUGGAAGUAGACGACAUUCCCGGCCACAUCGUGCAGAGAAAAGUGAUGUCAGGGAUAGUGAGUAAUUCUUGUCCUCAGCAAAAAGGUCUGCUGAACAUGAUGUAUGUUCACACUACAUCGCACUAUAUGAUGUCUACUGCCGGCUAUACACAACACAUCAUGGGCUUACACCUGCAUUACACCAUAUGCUCUCUACUUCCUACUAGAGACCCAAUAUACACUGCCUACUACACAGGGUGUGCUGCACACAUCUACUAUACAUGAUGUGAUGUCUACUAUAACCAAUGUAUUUUACCUACAACGAGACAGUCCAGUAUAGACUAUAUACUUUGUAUUACCUACUUCUGCAAUGUACUGUCCACUAUGUACAGUAGGUUGUUAGUAGUAUAAAAUGAAAUGUACAGUCCACAUUGAUGUAAUAUGCACUACCGUAAUGUACACUGUCCACAAUGUAAUCUACACUGUGGUGUACACUGUCCACGAUGUAAUAUGCGCUGUCUGUGAUGUUAUGUACACUGUCCAUGAUGUCAUAUGCACUGUCUGUGAUGUACACUGUCCACGAUGUCAUAUGCACUGUCUGUGAUGUUAUAUACACUGUCUGUGAUGUUAUAUGCAGUGUCCACGAUGUCAUAUGCACUGUCUGUGAUGUACACUGUCUGUGAUGUCAUAUGCACUGUCUGUGAUGUAGACUGUCUGUGAUGUCAUAUGCACUGUCUGUGAUGUUAAAUACACUGUCCACGAUGUAAUAUGCACUGUCUGUGAUGUACACUGUCUGUGAUGUCAUAUGCACUGUCUGUGAUGUUAAAUACACUGUCCACGAUGUAAUAUGCACUGUCUGUGAUGUACACUGUCUGUGAUGUCAUAUGCACUGUCUGUGGUGUUAUAUACACUGUCCACAAUGUAAUAUGCACUGUCUGUGGUGUUAUAUACACUGUCCACAAUGUAAUAUGCACUGUGAUGUACACUGUCCACAAUGUCAUAUGCACUGUCUGUGAUGUUAAAUACACUGUCCACGAUGAUGUAAUGUACACUAUCCAUAAUGUAAUAUGCACUGUCUGUGAUGUACACUGUCCAUGAUGUCAUAUGCACUAUCUGUGAUGUUAUAUGCAGUGUCCACGAUGUCAUAUGCACUGUCUGUGAUGUUAUACACACUGUCCACGAUGUCAUAUGCACUGUCUGUGAUGUACACUGUCCACAAUGUCAUAUGCACUGUCUGUGAUGUCAUAUGCACUGUCUGUGAUGUUAAAUACACUGUCCACGAUGAUGUAAUGUACACUAUCCAUAAUGUAAUAUGCACUGUCUGUGAUGUACACUGUCCACGAUGUCAUAUGCACUGUCUGUGAUGUACA